rnacentral:rRNA from 1 species
AUUGAACGCUGGCGGCAGGCCUAACACAUGCAAGUCGAGCGGAUCGGCGGACGGGUGAGUAAUGCCUAGGAAUCUGCCUGGUCGUGGGGGAUAAGGUCCGGAACAGGGAGCUAAUACCGCAUACUAUCAGAUGAGCCUAGGUCGGAUUAGCUAGGUGGUGGGGUAAAGGCCUACAAAGGCGCAGAUCCGUAACUGGUCUGAGAGGAUGAUCAGUCACACUGGAACUGAGACACGGUCCAGACUCCUACGGGAGGCAGCAGUGGGGAAUAUUGGACAAUGGGCGAAAGCCUGAUCCAGCCAUGCCGCGUGUGUGAAGAAGGUCUUCGGAUUGUAAAGCACUUUAAGUUGGGAGGCGUUACCAACAGAAUAAGCACCGGCUAACUUCGUGCCAGCAGCCGCGGUAAUUC